CCAAACAUUGUAUGUUCUCACUGAUAUGUGGGAGCUAAGCUAUGAGGACACAAAGCCAUAAGAAUAAUACAAUGGACUUUGGGGACUUGGGGGGAAGGAUGGGAGGGGGCGAGGGAUAAAAGACUACAAAUAGGGUGGGUGCAGUGUAUACUGCUCAGGUGAUGGGUGCACCAGAAUCUCACAAAUCACCACUAAAGAAUUUACUCAUGUAACCAAAUGCCACCUGUCCCCCAAAAACUUAUGGAAAAAUUAAAUAUUUAACAAAAUAAUAGCAGUGGUGAUUCUACACCACAGGCCCUUUUAUCAGCAAAAUUCUUUAUCCCCCAUACAAGAUGAUGAUAGCCAUAACACAAUAAUACUACUGCUACAAUAAUAAUACUUAUCAUUCUUUAUAGAACUGCCAGAGAAUGACUUCUGACCAGAUGUCAUCUCUCCACCCAUGCUGACAACCAGAAACACAGUGAACAAGUAUCCCCCAAGCUGGGGCCAGAUCCCAUGUGACAAGGGUAGGGUGACCACAUAAUUUGUCACUGAAAACAGGACAGAACAAAUCUUUCAGAAUAAAAGCGGGUGCUGUGAAUUACUCUGGGAUGAUGUAGAUACAUCAAGACUGUCAAGUUCUCUCCAUGCUAGAGUCUUCUCUUUAUGUGACUUCCUUUUACAGACAAGGAAAGAUCAUUCAGAGAGAUGUUAUAAUUUGCCAGGAGGAUUCAAGCCCAGGACAACUAUGACUUGAUUCUAUAAUCCAGCUCUUUUUAUCAAUAGAAAUGUGGACCCCAGAGACCCCAUUGUGGGUCUCAGUCCCCUUCCCAUUGGCUGUUCUUGUCUUUAAUAAGAUGAGAGUAGCGUCCAUCUAAGAGGGAGGGCUUUCCCUGACCUCAUGUCUCAAUCUGAGAGGCACCUAACUCUGUUGACUUAAAUAUUUAAUAGCAAUCCUUAAGUAAAGAAUUGAUCUUUAUUUUAUACCAAGCCUAGAAAAAAAAUGCCCAUUUCCUUCUCCUCUAUCACACAAGCCUCUGGGUAUCUCCAUUGAAUUUCCUCUUACUUUCUUUGUACAAGCUUUUUUUCUACUGGUUAAUUUCUUCUUGUUGGGAAAUUCGGGGAGGAGAUUACCACCUACCCCUGGGACUGCCAAGCCGGAAGAGCCUUCUCAGUGGGUGUCUCUCAGAGGAAAGAACAGAUGUGUGACCUGAAAUGAACUGGUUUUGGGGUGAAAGCCUCUGGUGUCGCUGGCACCUGCUGCCUGCAAACAGUACCUGUGAGCUGCUGUUGCCCAGUGAACAGAUGUCACAGGGAGAUUCUGUAGGUCACUAAAUGUUCAUAGACUGAUCAGCUUAGGAGACAUCCUGUAAGGUGUCUCACCUGGCUUGAGGUGGUCAAGACCCUGAGACGCCCUAGAAAUGAAAGACACUAUAAAACAGCCAAGUGGAAGGCAAAGACUCACAUCCCAGUAGUACCAGAUAAUCUCCAGCUGCUCCAGAUUUACUGACAGAAUAUUCAGUAAUCUCUUUUGCUCAUUUCAAAAUCAUCCACAAUUGUUUCCUAUAAUAUAUAUUACUGUCUGAAAGUAUCUUGUUCCUUUACUUAUUCCUUUCCUAAUAACCCUGUUCUGGAAUGUAAGCUUCAUGAAAGCAGAGACUUUGCCUUAUUCACCAGUUUCUCCAAAGCGCAAAACUAUGACCAAUUUCUACUAGAUGCUUGGGAAUAUUUGCUGAAUAAGUUGGUGACCAAUAACAGCAUGAAGAAAAAAUGCAAAAAAAUAAGACAGCCACAUCUUUCUUUUCAUAUUGCCAAAGGGUCAUAAAAGGUCCCAUCAAGUUCUGCGGAGUGUACAAAGGACAUCUCCAGGGUUGUCAGUUAUCAGCUCAGCACUAUCACCCCACACUUCUAAGGCAGGAACUGCAUUUACUAGAAUCCCUUCCUGGUGUGAUUCAGAGUUAGAAUUUGCCAGUGGGAAGAACUCACAGGAGAUUCGGAAGGCAGAAGCGAUAUGAAGUCAGAGAUCCUAGUGGCCAGAGACAGUGGCAUUUUAGACCUUUCCAUGCGUUCCAACUUUACAAUCAUGUUGACCCCUUGUGACAGCUUCUCAGAUGUCUCUGCCAGCUCCAACUCUACCAGCUCCAGUGCUCUAGGCUGAAGUGCUUCUGGAUAAAGCCUUCUGGACCUUCACUUUCCUGCUCUUCCCACAUUUAUGUAAGCCCUAAUUUCUGUAUUAAACUAUUUUCCCUAAAAAACUUGUAGUGGUUCUAUUUUCUUCGCCAAACCCAGACUAACACAGAAGAGAUUUCAUACACUGCUGGGAUAAAAGCCUUUUCCGUUUCAUUCAACUUUCAAUAACUAUUAAGCAGUAACAUGUCUUGGAGAGCAAUUUGAUAAUAGUCAGGCAAGAGUUCACAAUCUUUGACCCAGUAACCCACUUCUAAGUUAAGUCUGUUCUAAGGAAGUAAUGAUUUAUCCAGACAAGAUCUCAGUUUAUGAAAAAGGAUGUUAAUGAAAGCAAAAGGAACACUUUCUUUCCAGGGAAAUGGUCUAAAACUUAAUGCAUAUCCAUAAGAUAUAACAUUAUGUAGUUUAUAUGAAUCAUGUUUUUUUAAAAUUAUUUUAUGAUAUGGCAAAAUUACCACUAUUAAAGGUGAGUGAAAGUACAACAUAUCAAAUCAUAUAUGAAAUAAUUUAAUUUGCAAAAAUAAAAAUAAAAUCAAAUGCAUACUGUGCUCCACUGUAUAUUACCUGUGUGACUU
rnacentral:lncRNA from 1 species